rnacentral:lncRNA from 1 species
CGGGAGAUGAAGCGAGCGCGAGCUAACCAGUGGCCAACGGCUGCGAUGGUUGCUUGGCCUGGACAGAUAGCUCGGUUCCAUGCUUCUCCUUUCCUUUUAGCGUGCCGCUCUGAUUGCCAUUACACAGAUCGUUUUUUUUUUCACUCUGUAAAAUCUCUGCUGCCAAAUCUCUAAUGUUUCGACGAUACUAUCGACAUGAUUAAUGAGUAUGAUAAACAGGUACUGGGGGCAUUUGUACACAUAUGCUCUCAGAAAGCAUCAUACUACAUGUUUUGAUACAUUAGUAGACUAUGCAAAUCAUAUCAAAGAGGACGGCAAAUUCUUUAUGUCCCAUAGAUAUGCUCGCCCUCUGUCUUUCUCAUUUUCCACUGCGGUUUUGUUUUCCUUUUUGUGCAUUAUGAAUUGCCAAAUGAUGUGAACGGGUUUCUAUUUCUCACGAUGGUCAUCUGAGACGUCGUUUUGGCGUCUUGAUUGAUGAUGGAAAAUCCUUCUGAUGGUCUCUAUACUUGUUUCUGAGAUUCUGUUACGUCUCCUCCCGAUCACUGGCAUGAUUGAGGAAGGAAACCUUUCUGUAGUUAUUGCAAUUCAUUCUUUUGUUGAUUUAAGUUUUGCUUAUUUUUAAUUUUUUCUCAAUAAAUAGGCACUAUGAGGAAAUGCAUUCUUUCAAUCUGCAAGAUCAACUGAUCAAUGAGCAGAAAAAUUUAGUCCUUUUCAUUCUGAGUGCCUGAUUUUUCUUUGAAUUGUUUGACUUCUCAUUAACUUAGUUAACAUGCUCAUUAGAUCAGCUGAAUGAGGGUAGAUAAAUAUGGGACGUCAAUUAAUAUGACAUGAGUAACAUAUUUAUUACUCUCAAUUGUGCUCUUUGGUUUAUUUUAUUUGUCAUUUCAAGAACCAAAGUCCUCUUUUCCUAGAUUUAAUUUAUCCGCUAAUGAUCUAUGGGAGUUCUGCUUAUGCCUCUGUUCAUGACAAGGAACUAUGUUUUUGGCUAUUAUGAUCCUGAUGGUGAGUACUAGGAUUAUAAGUUUAUGUGCAUACAUUAGUUAUGACGUUAUUAUUGGUGUUAGAUACUUUAAUCCUGACAUCCAAAAUCUAAUUUAAAUAAUUUCUAUAAAAUCAUCCUAAUGUUGUGUUUUAGUUGUACCUUUCAAACAAACACCCAUCAAAGUGAAAUCAAUGUUAUCAUUUAUAACUAUAAUGUGAACAAUAUGGAACAGUAGGACAAAAGUUUGAUCUUAGUUAACUAAAAUGUUUCUCUAUGGUGUUCACUUAUAGGAUUCUGUAUCUUUAUUAAUACCAUACAUUAACUGUCUAUUUGUUCUCCAGUUAAUUUCUCACACUACAGGUUCACUUUUGCUCCAGAUAAUUGCUUUGUUGCAGCUUAAUUGAAUCAUGUUGUAGGAAAACAUGUUUUCAUUCUGAUAGUCUCAUUUCCCAGGUUAGGAAAUUACCUCUCAUUCAUAAUUGCCUCCAAGAACAUCCAGACAACAUGAUGUAAAAUGGAUGUUCUUAAUUUGAUAAUGUUAUUUUGCGUGCUUAUACCUACGCAAGCUUUGAUUAUUCUUGUCGGUGGCUUGUUUUGUACAAUUGCUAUUUUAUAUUCAAGAAAUAUACUUUAUCUGUGAAAUACUUCUAGGCAGUUGGAUUUUAUGUUGCAUUUGCUCAGUACAAGUUUGAUAUACUAACAGUUUUAUGAUUCUGUUUUGGAAGAUCGUAUUGAUUCAGUAGACAAGCGUCUUUUGACUGCUUGUGCGGUGGAUGCCAGAACCGGUAUCAACAUGAUGUAGAACAUAUCGCCAUUUGAAUUUGAUUUAUGAGGAUAGAGCGGAGGAAAUUCUAUUUUACAAGUUCACUCUUUUGACAAAGAGAAGAAUUUUUAUUACCAAGUAUCACUUUUCAUGUUUGGAUGACAGCAUCACGCGACAAUCACAUAUCGGAAGAAACGGGAACUCAAAAUCUCAAUUACUCAGUCGACUGUCUCCUCCUCGAGUAGAAUAAGCAAAAAAGAUCAUUUUACAUUGAAUUAAGCCUUAACUAUAUAUCCAUGUCCUGAGGACCUCUUUUGAAUGUGUUUGCAGAUUGCGAAAUGAUGUGAAUGGGAUUCUGCUUCCGAUGAUGGUCAUCUGAAUUGCUGUAUCUUGAUAGUGUCUAGAUCUUUGUGAGUCUACCUUUUCUUCUUCUUUCUCAUGUCUGUUGUAAAUAGUAUUUGCAUCUAUCAUACUGCUUGAUUGUAAAAAAUAAAUAUUUUCCUAAUGAGUCUUGAUCAGGAGGAAAUGCUUUAUUCUUUUAUUCAGAGUUCAUGUCCUGAAUGAUUGUUAACAUGCAUUUUUUACUUAUAAUUACUGAAUACAAAAUGAUCUCUUUCAG